GAUGAACGCUGGCGGCGUGCCUAAUACAUGCAAGUCGAGCGAACAGACGAGGAGCUUGCUCCUCUGACGUUAGCGGCGGACGGGUGAGUAACACGUGGAUAACCUACCUAUAAGACUGGGAUAACUUCGGGAAACCGGAGCUAAUACCGGAUAAUAUAUUGAACCGCAUGGUUCAAUAGUGAAAGUCGGUUUUGCUGUCACUUAUAGAUGGAUCCGCGCCGCAUUAGCUAGUUGGUAAGGUAACGGCUUACCAAGGCAACGAUGCGUAGCCGACCUGAGAGGGUGAUCGGCCACACUGGAACUGAGACACGGUCCAGACUCCUACGGGAGGCAGCAGUAGGGAAUCUUCCGCAAUGGGCGAGAGCGUGACGGAGCAACGCCGCGUGAGUGAUGAAGGUCUUCGGAUCGUAAAACUCUGUUAUUAGGGAAGAACAAAUGUGUAAGUAACUAUGCACGUCUUGACGGUACCUAAUCAGAAAGCCACGGCUAACUACGUG
rnacentral:rRNA from 1 species